GAUGAACGCUGGCGGCGUGCCUAAUACAUGCAAGUCGAGCGAACGGACGAGAAGCUUGCUUCUCUGAUGUUAGCGGCGGACGGGUGAGUAACACGUGGAUAACCUACCUAUAAGACUGGGAUAACUUCGGGAAACCGGAGCUAAUACCGGAUAAUAUUUUGAACCGCAUGGUUCAAAAGUAAAAGACGGUCUUGCUGUCACUUAUAGAUGGAUCCGCGCUGCAUUAGCUAGUUGGUAAGGUAACGGCUUACCAAGGCAACGAUGCAUAGCCGACCUGAGAGGGGGAUCGGCCACACUGGAACUGAGACACGGUCCAGACUCCUACGGGAGGCAGCAGUAGGGAAUCUUCUGCAAUGGGCGAAAGCCUGACGGAGCAACGCCGCGUGAGUGAUGAAGGUCUUCGGAUCGUAAAACUCUGUUAUUAGGGAAGAACAUAUGUGUAAGUAACUGUGCACAUCUUGACGGUACCUAAUCAGAAAGCCACGGCUAACUACGUG
rnacentral:rRNA from 1 species